rnacentral:rRNA from 1 species
AACGAACGCUGGCGGCAUGCCUAACACAUGCAAGUCGAACGAGAUCUUCGGGUCUAGUGGCGCACGGGUGCGUAACGCGUGGGAAUCUGCCCUUUGGUUCGGAAUAACAGUUGGAAACGACUGCUAAUACCGGAUGAUGACGAAAGUCCAAAGAUUUAUCGCCAGAGAAUGAGCCCGCGUAGGAUUAGCUAGUUGGUGUGGUAAAGGCGCACCAAGGCGACGAUCCUUAGCAGGUCUGAGAGGAUGAUCAGCCACACUGGGACUAAGACACGGCCCAGACUCCUACGGGAGGCAGCAGUGGGGAAUAUUGGACAAUGGGCGAAAGCCUGAUCCAGCAAUGCCGCGUGAGUGAUGAAGGCCUUAGGGUUGUAAAGCUCUUUUACCCGGGAUGAUAAUGACAGUACCGGGAGAAUAAGCUCCGGCUAACUCCGUGCCAGCAGCCGCGGUAA